AACGAACGCUGGCGGCAUGCCUAACACAUGCAAGUCGAACGAAGCCUUCGGGCUUAGUGGCGCACGGGUGCGUAACGCGUGGGAAUCUGCCCUUGGGUUCGGAAUAACAGUUAGAAAUGACUGCUAAUACCGGAUGAUGUCUUCGGACCAAAGAUUUAUCGCCCAAGGAUGAGCCCGCGUCGGAUUAGCUAGUUGGUGAGGUAGAGGCUCACCAAGGCGACGAUCCGUAGCUGGUCUGAGAGGAUGAUCAGCCACACUGGGACUGAGACACGGCCCAGACUCCUACGGGAGGCAGCAGUGGGGAAUAUUGGACAAUGGGCGAAAGCCUGAUCCAGCAAUGCCGCGUGAGUGAUGAAGGCCUUAGGGUUGUAAAGCUCUUUUACCCGGGAUGAUAAUGACAGUACCGGGAGAAUAAGCCCCGGCUAACUCCGUGCCAGCCGCCGCCGUAAAAC
rnacentral:rRNA from 1 species